rnacentral:rRNA from 1 species
GUGCCAGCAGCCGCGGUAAGACAGAGGUGCCGAGCGUUAGGCGGAAUCACUGGGCUUAAAGCGUGUGUAGGCGGGUCGUUAAGUGUCCGUGUGAAAUCCCACCGCUCAACGGUGGAACUGCCGGGCAUACUGGCGAUCUUGAGCCACCUAGGGGCGAGCGGAACAAGCGGUGGAGCGGUGAAAUGCGUAGAUAUCGCUUGGAACGCCGACGGUGAAAACAGCUCGCUGGGGGUGUGCUGACGCUGAGACACGAAAGCCAGGGGAGCGAACGGGAUUAGAUACCCCAGUAGUCC